AGAGUUUGAUUAUGGCUCAGGAUGAACGCUAGCGGCAGGCUUAACACAUGCAAGUCGAGGGGCAGCGGGAUGUAGCAAUACAUUGCCGGCGACCGGCGGAUGGGUGCGUAACGCGUAUGCAACCUACCUUAUACAGGGGAAUAACCUUUCGAAAGGGAGACUAACACCCCAUGGUAUUGAUUUAAGGCAUCUUAGAUUAAUUAAAUAUUUAUAGGUAUAAGAUGGGCAUGCGUAUGAUUAGCUAGUUGGUAAGGUAACGGCUUACCAAGGCGACGAUCAUUAGGGGUUCUGAGAGGAAGGUCCCCCACACUGGUACUGAGACACGGACCAGACUCCUACGGGAGGCAGCAGUGAGGAAUAUUGGUCAAUGGGCGCAAGCCUGAACCAGCCAUGCCGCGUGCAGGAAGACGGCCUUAUGGGUUGUAAACUGCUUUUACAUAAGACUAACCGUAUAUUUGCGAAUAUACCUGAAUGUAUUAUGAGAAUAAGGAUCGGCUAACUCCGUGCCAGCCGCCGC
rnacentral:rRNA from 1 species